AAGCAGCACUCUGUAGCAGAUAAAAUUGACACAAUUUGAGCUUGCUAUAGAAAGGAAGUCUAACCUACUCCGGUAUUCUCUUCUCUGUGCAACAAGGCAUUAUGUAGACUUAAACAGC
ensembl:snoRNA